rnacentral:misc_RNA from 1 species
AAAUGGUUUAGUUUCAAACGACAGAUGAUCCGAUUUGAACCAAUCAGUUUCAGUUUUAGUUUGAGGAGAAAUGCGUCAGCCAGAAGAGAUAAAAGAAUCAGAUACAAGGAGCUAGUAGAAGAAGGAAUUAAAAAAAACUCUCGUCUUAUUUUUGCAUUGUUAAUUCUGUAUUUCCCUCUCAACAGGUUCAAGAUGCCAACAGGGAAUCUCUAAUGGAGUUUGCAUGUGGUGGGAAAGUUUCAGAUAACUAGGAAAAAAUAUUUCAAACAAAAAUGAUUGGAUGUCUGUGAAAGUUAGAAAGAUAAGGGAAAAAAAAGGGAUUGCACCGACUUAGUUCUUUGAAUCUGUAAACUUGUAUGGAUAAGAAGAGAUGAUGCUGUGAUGUUGCAGAAACAAAAGAG